AACCUUAUGGACCUGCGGGCGUAUACCUGCGGAAGGAUCAUUAAAAAGAGUGUGUACCCCUCUGUAAAAUGAGUGGGUUACCUCCCGUCCUUUGUUGACCUCUUAGGAGGUUAUUUUGAACUUUCUGCUUCGGUGGGGUUAAACCUACCGGAACACCCUCAAAUUCUUAUCAUUUAAAAAUUGUUCAGUCUGAUUUUUGUUAAUAAAAACAAAAAACUUUCAACAAUGGAUCUCAGAUCG
rnacentral:misc_RNA from 1 species